AAAAACCUAGCACCAGGAAAAGGACUGUUUCCCUCUAAAUCUGCCGACCCGCUUCACCACCAGACUUCUCCAGCUCCAGUCCUACGGUGAUACCCGGUUAUUUGAAGGUUUUCAUGGAGGCUGAUCCGAGACCUCGGGUUAGAGCCACACUUCGCCUUGGAUCAGAAACAUAUUCUGUCAACGCAAACAAGGGUACCCUUUCUGAGCAAUUGAUUUCAAUGAAAGAGGAAAGUAUGAGCAUAUUGAAGGAAUUCAUCACCAAACAUAAUGUUCCUAAUGAUGUCCCCGAUGAACUUGUUGAAAGCUCUUCAGAGGAGGAUACCGAAACUCCCGAGAAGACCCAUGUGAAGUCAAAGAAGACGAAAUUAACAUAAUUAUUCCUUUCUCCUCCUUGGUUUAAAACCCCAAGAGACAAAUGGGAAGCUCCUUCGUUGUGUUAGAACUGUCUUGAACAAUAUCUUGAAAUAGUUAGUACAUUAGAUGUUAUGCAAGAUGAAGUGCUUAUGUCCUUUUCCA